rnacentral:lncRNA from 1 species
AUGCAAAAGAUAGGAAGACUUUACUGUUCAGGUAAGAAACAGGAGGUGACCAGAGCAAACAGGAAGACAAUACUAUAUGUGCGAUACUACUCUAUGAUCAAUUUUACGGAUGUGAUGAAGUACCAAGGAUCAAGGAGGCAAUUGCAAAUGGCACAGAAGCCUAAACUAUGCUGAAAGGACUGGAAGCAAUAAAUUAUUCCUCCAAGCUCUACUCUGAAACAAGACCUUUACAAAGUAGACAAUGCGGAGAUCUGUUAGGCAUUUAGCUCUCUAUUCAGUUGGAGCAUACCAUAAAGCUAAAACCAGAUCAGUCAAAGGAACCACAGGAGUUUCCAGCUUUAUUUGAUUCGGAGAACCAGAUGAAAAUUUCCUUUACAAAUACAGUAUGUUUGGGCCUUCAGCUGUAGUGAGGUACCACUGGAGAACGAUAGUUUAUCAUUCACAGCAGUGAAAAAGGAGGUCAUACAGGGAUCACCUCUCCAAUGACAUAAACAUGAGACUUUUCUCACAAGAUGUCAAACUUCAAUUGUUGGUGAGAACUGUUGUGUCAGUGUUUCAUAAUAAUUGCUUCUAAGUCUUGUUAAAGGUCUAACACAAAUUACCUGAGUGACAUGCUUUUGGCACCAGUAAAGGAACAAUGUGGGGAAUGCACGUGGUGUAACAGACUUGCUUAUUACGAUUUUGUUUGAGUUUAUUGCAGCAAUUUUACCAUUACUUCCCAUUAUUCGAAAUACCGUAAUAAGAGUUGCAAGUUGUCUCAUGCUCACAAGGAAACAUUUGUUCCCUGGGUAAUAGACUAGCUGGCCAACAUAAGCUCAUUCAAAACAAUAAUUUUUUUUUUUUUUUAAGAAGAGGUGUUCCAAACAAACUGAAAAAGUUAAUCCUUUCACUUGUGAAGGCCUUUCUUUAGGCUUAAAAAGUAAUAUUGACUGUCUUCGCACUGCAACUCAGAUAUUGUUUCAUUUACAACUCAUGCAAUAAAUGGAUGGCCGAUUAGUAUAUACUAAUGGAA